rnacentral:rRNA from 1 species
CAGCAGCCGCGGUAAUUCCAGCUCCAAUAGCGUAUAUUAAAGUUGUUGCAGUUAAAAAGCUCGUAGUUGAAUUUCGGGGUCAGUAGGUCGGUCGUGCCACUGGUAUGAACUGGUUUUACUGAUUCCUCCCUCUUGAAGAACUGUAAUGCCAUUAAUUUGGUGUUGCAGGGAAUCAGGACUGUUACUUUGAAAAAAUUAGAGUGUUUAAAGCAGGCUUUAGCUUGAAUACAUUAGCAUGGAAUAAUGAAAUAGGACGUUUGAUCCUAUUUUGUUGGUUUCUAGGAUUGACGUAAUGAUUAAUAGGGAUAGUUGGGGGCAUUAGUAUUCAAUUGUCAGAGGUGAAAUUCUUGGAUUUAUUGAAGACUAACUACUGCGAAAGCAUUUGCCAAGGAUGUUUUCAUUAAUCAAGAACGAAAGUUAGGGGAUCGAAGACGAUCAGAUACCGUCGUAGUCUUAACCAUAAACUAUGCCGACUAGGGAUCGGAUGAUGUUAAUUUUUUAAUGACUCAUUCGGCGCCUUACG